CCCCUCUUAUACUAAGUACAUAUUGUAGGGUGUAGAAUCUCAAACUUUCAGAAACCCUUUAGGCCUCUCAACCUUUUCUAACAUAUAUUUCAAUAUCCAUAGGUGAUCUAAUGUUUAGAUAUCUAGUAGUUUAUCACUUUAUCUGCCUUUCUUACUUAUUUCAUUGUGUUUUCCUUCCUUCUCCUUUGUCUUAGUAGAUAGUGUUUUACUACCUUGCUUUCUUUCUUGUCUGAUAACUCUCUCUCUCUCUCCCCCUUGCUAGUUAGUAGUUUUAUUCCCCUGCCUACUGAUCCUCCUCUUCUAGUUAUCUUUCACUUUGCCCCUUCACAAUCUUUUCUGGUUUUUUUUUCAAAGAAAAGUUGGAAGGGUUUUCUACUUUAGUCAUAAUCUUCUAUAGCUGAUUGCUUUAGUUUUUUAGGGUCAAUCCAUGUUACAUUACCUGUUAGCAAUACAGUAAGUCCUUGAUGUUCUUCCAUUAUUCUGCCUUUGGUAAAUGCUUCUUUCCUUUAGUCUUCACUCGGCUUAUCUUCCAUGGAGAAUGUUGAUCAUACCAUGCUCCGGCAUCAAGGUCGGCGAAAUGGCAUCAGCUGCUUUGUUCGAAGGUGUGGUCAUGGCCUUCCAAAGUUGUUAGUUAGAAUGCAAAUCAGUUCAGUUAUUUGUUUUGUUGUGUUUAUUUAUGUGCUUUAUAGUUCGAUAAUCCUUUGGAAAUAGAGUUUGUGACUAUGAUAUCUAUAAUGCUACUAUGUUGGUAUUUGUAAUUCUACUAUGUUAUUAUCAGAAUUAAGUACUUGUUAUUUAUAUAGCAUUUUCUUGGAAA